AACUUUCAACAACGGAUCUCUUGGCUCUCGCAUCGAUGAAGAACGCAGCGAAAUGCGAUAAGUAAUGUGAAUUGCAAAAUUCAGUGAAUCAUCGAAUCUUUGAACGCACCUUGCGCCCCUUGGUAUUCCGAGGGGCAUGCCUGUUUGAGUGUCAUUA
rnacentral:rRNA from 1 species